ACGUAGGGGGCAAGCGUUAUCCGGAUUUACUGGGUGUAAAGGGAGCGUAGACGGCGACGCAAGUCUGAAGUGAAAUACCCGGGCUCAACCUGGGAACUGCUUUGGAAACUGUGUUGCUAGAGUGCUGGAGAGGUAAGCGGAAUUCCUAGUGUAGCGGUGAAAUGCGUAGAUAUUAGGAAGAACACCAGUGGCGAAGGCGGCUUACUGGACAGUAACUGACGUUGAGGCUCGAAAGCGUGGGGAGCAAACAG
rnacentral:rRNA from 1 species